AACGCGAAGAACCUUACCUGGGCUUGAACUACUGGUAGUAAGUCUUUGGAAACAGAGGCUGAUCCGCAAGGAAGCCAGCAGAGGUGCUGCAUGGUUGUCGUCAGCUCGUGUCGUGAGAUGUUGGGUUAAGUCCCGCAACGAGCGCAACCCCUAUUCGAUGUUGCUAAUCCCGCAAGGGAUGCACUCUUCGAAAACUGCCUUCGAUAAGAAGGAGGAAGGUGGGGACGACGUCAAAUCCUCAUGGCCCUUAUGUCCAGGGCUACACACGUGCUACAAUGGCCGGUACAACGGGAAGCAAUACCGCAAGGUGGAGCCAAACCCUGAAAGCCGGCCCCAGUUCAGAUCGUGGGCUGAAACUCGCCCACGUGAAGGCGGAAUCGCUAGUAAUCGCGAAUCAGCAGGUCGCGGUGAAUACGUUCCCGGGCCUUGUA
rnacentral:rRNA from 1 species